UAGGGAACCUUCGGCAAUGGACGAAAGUCUGACCGAGCAACGCCGCGUGAGUGAAGAAGGUUUUCGGAUCGUAAAACUCUGUUGUUAGAGAAGAACAAGGACGUUAGUAACUGAACGUCCCCUGACGGUAUCUAACCAGAAAGCCACGGCUAACUACGUGCCAGCAGCCGCGGUAAUACGUAGGUGGCAAGCGUUGUCCGGAUUUAUUGGGCGUAAAGCGAGCGCAGGCGGUUUCUUAAGUCUGAUGUGAAAGCCCCCGGCUCAACCGGGGAGGGUCAUUGGAAACUGGGAGACUUGAGUGCAGAAGAGGAGAGUGGAAUUCCAUGUGUAGCGGUGAAAUGCGUAGAUAUAUGGAGGAACACCAGUGGCGAAGGCGGCUCUCUGGUCUGUAACUUACGCUGAGGCUCGAAAGCGUGGGGAGCAAACAGG
rnacentral:rRNA from 1 species